CAAUGACCCUAAACGAGCGGUUCACUUCGUAUCAGAAAGCCACUGAAGAACAUAGUACUCGGCAAAAGAGCCCUGAAAUACACAGGAGAAUUGACAUCUCACCAAGUACCCUGAGGAAGCAUACCCGUUUAGCAGGGGAAGAGAGAGUUUUUAAAGAAGAAAAUCAAAAGGGAGAUAAAAAAUUAAGGUGUGACUCUGCUGACCUUCGGCAUGACAUUGAUCGCCGUAGAAAAGAAAGAAGUAAAGAGCGGGGAGAUUCCAAGGGCUCCAGGGAAUCCAGUGGAUCAAGAAAGCAGGAAAAAACUCCAAAAGAUUACAAGGAAUACAAAUCUUACAAAGAUGACAGGUAAUUGUUCAAACUGACUAAGAUAGGUUUUAGCUUCUAAUUAGCCUUUAAUAAUUGUCAGCUUAAUUGCUUUCAAUUUUGACUGUGUAAUCGAAUGUUUAAAUUUAAACAAUUAAAAUUAUUUGUUUUACAGCAAAAAUGUAUUUGUCUUUUACACGGCUUAUGGUGGAUGAGGACAAAAACUUUGGAAUAGCAAGCUAACACUG
rnacentral:sRNA from 1 species